UUAUGUAUAUAUUAUAUAGAUUUGUUUGCAUUUUUGAACGCGUAUAAUACUAAAAUGGAAAUUUUGCUGAAUCUAACACUAGACGAAAUUUGUGAGCAAAGAAAUGAUAGAUUUUCUUUAAAUUUAAGAAAAAGAAGGUUAUUGAAGUCAAAAAGAAAAAUUUGUAGGUACAAAUGUUUGUCUUUAAAAAGAAAAAUACCUAAAAACAAAUCAUUUAUUAAAACAAUAAAGUCGUUUCCCGAGGACAUUUUCUAUUCCCAUUUCCGAAUGAAUUGGGCCACUUUUAAGGCUUUGGAGAAGUCUUUGACUCCACACUUGGUAACUGCAAGGCUUGGCCGUGAUGGUCAUUCGUUAGAGAAUUGUCUGUACAUGACAUGGAAGCUAUGUAAUAACAGGGUGACGUUCCGACAGCUUUCGGAUCGCUUCAACAUUGCAAAAGGAACAUCACACCGUAAUCCAAGCCAUUUGUAAUCUUAAAAGCGAAACAAAAUGGCCGUCUAUUGACCGUCAGCAAGAGGUCAUGACAAAUUUUGAAAAUAGCAGAAAAAAUCCCUUUCCUUUUGUUAUAGGAUGUUUAGAUGGAACGCAUUUUAACAUACCUACCCCAAAUGUAGAUGCGAUUAGUUAUUAUGAUCGCAAAGGAAACCAAUCAGUAUCCAUGCAGGCUAUAUGCGACAGCCAAUAUCGUUUUCUAGAUGUGUUUAUUGGAUAUCCAGGGAGCUGCCACGAUGCCAAUGUUUGGACAAAUAGCCCAAUAUUUCAAGUAAUAACAUCUGGCGAGUUACAGCUGGCACCAAGUGCUGUUAUAUUGGGGGACUCUGCGUACCCCAUAUCGAAAUUUCUAAUGAUACCUCACAGAGACAAUGGACAUCUCAGAAGGGAACAGAAGACUUUCAAUACCCGUUUAAGCUCAACGCGAGUAUUUGUAGAACAAACUUUCGGGAUUUUUAAGAAAAAGGUUAAAAUUUUAAAUUAUGUUGAAGCUUCGAGCAUUAAAGCCACAUCUAAUGUAAUACUCUCUUGCGCUAUCUUACACAAUUUUAUCAUAAAUAAGGGAGGUUAUUCUGAACAUAAUAACGAUACAAUAACACAUGCCAAUAUGGAAACCAACAAUGAAAUCGAAGGAAUUCAAGAUGCCCCAUUCGCCGUGUUGAUUCAGAUGAUAUCAAGAAACUAUUUUACCACUCUGUUUUCAUCAUAAAAAAUUUACUUUACCUCACCUUCCUUUAUUUGAAUAAUUUUUUUAUUACUUUUUCUGAUGAACUUCAUUUUAAUUUUUAUUGUUUUCAUUAAAAAGAAAAAACAUUUAUUUAACUAAACCUAGUUUCAGUAAAAAAAUAAGGUGAGCUUCUUACACAUAUAAAAAAUAAAAAAGGUACAUUUCAGUUCUCUACCACAGGCCAAAUACUUAUCUAUUCAUAUUAACACUAUUUUUUUAAAUAAUCUGCCAACACGGAUUUCAUGUCUAGUAGAGCUUUUAUUCUUUCUUUUUCUAGAGACAGCUUGUCCCUCUCCAAAGCCAUGACCUCGUUACCAAGAGAUUUAAGAAUUUUCUCUGCGCUAUGGUGCUGUCCAAUCUUAUAUGUGGAUUUACAUUUUUAACUUCGGUCACAACUUUCUUCCACAAUACAUUUUUUUUCCUUCUACCCGAUUUAAACUCGUCCUCCAUAUUCAACCAGAGAACGUCUAUCACAGAGAAAGUUCAUGGCACGGAGAUCGUAAAAAUAUUUUUGGCUAGCUCGGUCGAGAUGGUCCAGUUUCACCACAGACAAAUUAUAAGCGUGUUUCACCACGAAUAUAGCAGAAUUGAGCAUUUUCAGUGUUAAAUGAGAAAAAUAAUGCGGAUUCCAAUGUAAAGGAAUGUAUGCGUACAGAUUCGCUUAUUUACUAUGCUCAAACGACUCUGCUUAUAAUUUAUAGAUCGGUAUACAUACAUACAUACAUAUGUAUAUUUGUUAUGAAAACACAUAUGUAUUUUGAAUUUGACCUAUGUAUUUGUAUUCCAUAAAAUCUUUGCAAGUAUUACUACCUAAAUAUGCAUUUUAUAUGGAGUGACAA